GUUUUUAUAGUGUAAAAAACAUAUAAUCUUUUCAAGAUUAAGCUAACUAAUAAGUUUAAAAAUU
rnacentral:tRNA from 1 species